UAUCUUUUGGCCAAGUGACAAAAAAAAAAAAAAUUAUAGAACUUUGAGGCAGGACAAAUGGCUUUGAGGGACAUUGCCUGUCCUACAAUUCAAACACUAAGGAAUGUAAUUCUUCUCCAAUUACAGAGAAGAAGGUUGAAGACAGAAAAAAAAGUUUAUGGUGUAUAUUUUGACCUCCAAAGGUAAAGUGCAGGAAAUUCCCCAGAACAAGUCAAGGCCUUAUCUGGCACAACCCAAAGUCGAGGGUCAGGCCGGAGCAGGUUAUUAAUGCCCCGACAGGUCACUGAAGCACAGGACCUCAUGACUUCUCUUGGAUUGAUUCUAGAGGAGCAAUUGGGGAUUUACCAUAGGUGUGCUCCUUCGAAGAAAAGUGCGCACCAAGAUGCACCCCAAGCUCCAGUGAGUAGGCAUGUCCGCCAUCAUAGACUUCCUACUACACAAGCAAAAAUAGCCCAAGGAAACACUGGCUGUUCAUCAAGCCAACCCCAUGGUACACAGCCAACAUUCCACAGACAAAUAGAUGCCCUAUGCUAACAACUGGGCCCAGGUGUCCAGAGAACCUGUGUCCUCAGUCAGCCCCCAUCACACAGGGCACAAAUACCAAGUGUCCCAGGGACCCCUGUCCACUGCUCCAGGCACUGCCACUGCAGAAGUAUACUAUCUGGAAAAGCAAAUGAUUUUCCAAAUUUCUGCAUUUAAAAUUCAUCCCUUUUGAAAAUAAACUCUCCCCUACGCAGAAGAACAUGGUCUCUGAGGGCUAAUGUCUCUAAGCUAGACAUUACUUCCUGUGGAAUAGCACUGCAAAGAUGACCUGCAGAUAAAACAUACGAAGAGAAAUGCCCACAUCUGUUCCACCUUAGUACUGAUACGAGGGGAUAUAACUCCACACAGAGGGGACAGUGGCAUUUGAGGACUCACCACCUCGUAGUUCCAUCAUUGUAAUUACUGUUAAUUACACUGUAAUUACGACAACAAAAGUCUUUAGGAAUUUUUGGUGGGUGCUAAGUCAACCCUGUAAGGCGCCAUCCUAAGGGCCAGCUCAUGUAGUCUCCGAUGAUCUAUCCUGAACUUUGUGUAGCUGUGUACAGAGGUACCAGCUUGCAAUGUCUUCACAAGUCACAGGGUAGGCACAGUGAUGAUGACAGUUGUGUGGCAUCCUUGAGUUCAAAUGAGGGGAAUCUUGACCUCUGUAUAUCCUGGACCUAGGGAUCCUUGGAAGCCCAUAUUCACCUCAAUGGAGGCUGCCAGCAUGCUGAGUUCUCCAGGCCCUCCCAGCUCAGUCAGGAGGGCAAAGCAGUAUUACCCUGUCCUAUGUCUGCCUUCAAUGCCAGAACGGUGGUCAGCAUGACACUGUCAACUUUCCAGGAGGGCAGCAGCUACAGAGACCCCUGGUCAUUUGCCAUUCCUUCUGGUCCACUGGAUAUACAGGACCCAUCUGACUGUGGGCAGGGGCCGAAUAUUUGGUAUGGAGACGAUUUUAUAAUACCACAACCAAUCAAGUACAAAGUGUGGACUGCAGUUCCAAUGGAUACAAGCACAAAACAAUUCCCUCACCUUAUGUUGAAGAUGCCAAAAGGAGGAACCCCCAGCCCUCUGAGAACAGCUACUCCCAUCACCAGCAAGGGUCACUAUGACCUAGAAGAAAGCAGAGUGGUGUGCCAUAUUAGUUGUGGCCAUCAUGCCAUCCCCAGAGGUGACAGUCAUUCAAUGAAGAACAGGUGGGUCACAGAUAGGGACAGCAAUCAGACCUUGCUGCCCAGAGAGUCUAUGUCCCCAGGAGACUCUCCCACAUAGUCCACAGGGGGCAAAUUCUGGGCUACCUUUACCAUGUCCAUCAGGCAGUCAUUCAAUAAAACGGCACGUUUGAUCAA